rnacentral:lncRNA from 1 species
AAUUAACCAAAUUGAUCCCUAAUUAUCAUUUCUAUCAUGCUUAAUAACAAUUAAACUUAGCCAAUUUAAUCAAUUAACACAUAGAUCACAAAGUCCCAAUUUUUAACUAAACUAAACUUUUUGAAAAUUUGUAAACAUGCAUAAAUCAUUAAUCCAACCUUAGAUCUAUCAAUUGCACACUUAAUAGCAUAAAUAAACAAUCAAUUAGUAAAUUAAACCAUAGAAUCAAUUUUACCCAAAUUACAUCAAACUAACUCAUAUCAAAAAUUACUAAUCAAUUUCAACCAUCAAUCCAAUCCAUCAAAUCUCAUAUAAACACUCUCAAUAGCAUAUAUCAUCCAUCAAUUCAUCAAUCAAGCCUCAAAUACAAAACUUCCCAAAUUUACACAAACUAAACUAUUUCAAAUCUCAUAUCUCUUUUUAAUUUCUAAUUAAUCUACACAUGGAAAUAGACUAAUUAGGAACCCAAUAGUAUUUAAAUAACAUCAAUUUAAGAAAAGGAAAAGAAAAAUUUUUGAAGGGUAAAAGACCCAAAUUUUCGAAAAUCACAAAGAAGGGAUAUGGGUGUUUUCUUGCUUGAUCUAUCCAUAUAUACACAUAUACAACACAUUUAAGUCUAGAUCUAAAAGGAUUCAUCACUUACU